rnacentral:rRNA from 1 species
UACGGAGGGUGCAAGCGUUAUCCGGAUUCACUGGGUUUAAAGGGUGCGUAGGUGGGCAGGUAAGUCAGUGGUGAAAUCUCUGAGCUUAACUCAGAAACUGCCGUGGAUACUACCGGUCUUGAAUAUCGUGGAGGUGAGCGGAAUAUGUCAUGUAGCGGUGAAAUGCUUAGAUAUGACAUAGAACACCAAUUGCGAAGGCAGCUCACUACCCGAAUAUUGACUCUGAGGCACGAAAGCGUGGGGAUCAAACAGG